rnacentral:misc_RNA from 1 species
UCAGACAGAAGAGGGCUGGUGA